CAGUCGCCGCGGGAAUACGAACCGUGCGAACGUUAUUCGGAAUCACUGGGCUUAAAGCGCGUGUAGGCGGAUCAGUACGUCUGGUGUUGAAAUCCCCCGGCUCAACCGGGGAAGUGGCACGGAUACGGCUGGUCUGGAGGGGGGUAGGGGAAUCGGGAACUUCCGGUGGAGCGGUGAAAUGCGUUGAGAUCGGAAGGAACGCCCGUGGCGAAAGCGCGGUUCUGGACCCCACCUGACGCUGAGACGCGAAAGCCAGGGGAGCGAACGGGAUUAGAUACCCCAGUAGUCCCUGUCUCUUAUA
rnacentral:rRNA from 1 species